GGGCCUAUAGUUUCAAUGGUAAAACAUCGCUCUCCAAAAGCGCAGUUCUCCGUUCGAGUCGGAGUGGGCCCGCAA
rnacentral:tRNA from 1 species